rnacentral:rRNA from 1 species
GACGAACGCUGGCGGCGUGCCUAAUACAUGCAAGUUGAGCGCUGAAGGUUGGUACUUGUACCGACUGGAUGAGCAGCGAACGGGUGAGUAACGCGUGGGGAAUCUGCCUUUGAGCGGGGGACAACAUUUGGAAACGAAUGCUAAUACCGCAUAAAAACUUUAAACACAAGUUUUAAGUUUGAAAGAUGCAAUUGCAUCACUCAAAGAUGAUCCCGCGUUGUAUUAGCUAGUUGGUGAGGUAAGGGCUCACCAAGGCGAUGAUACAUAGCCGACCUGAGAGGGUGGUCCACCACAUUGGGACUGGGACACGGCCCAAACUCCUUCGGGGAGCAGCAGUAGGGGAACUUCGGCCAUGGGCGGAAGUCUGGCCGAAGAACGCCGCGGGGGGGGAAGAGGUUUUCGGGUCGGAAAACUCUGUUUGUAGGGAAGAAAGUGGGGGAGGGUAGAAAGCUCAUGAAGUGACGGUAACUAAACAGAAAGGGACGGCUAACUACGUG